UGGGGAAUAUUGCACAAUGGGCGAAAGCCUGAUGCAGCGACGCCGCGUGAGGGAUGACGGCCUUCGGGUUGUAAACCUCUUUCAGUAGGGACGAAGCGCAAGUGACGGUACCUACAGAAGAAGCACCGGCCAACUACGUGCCAGCAGCCGCGGUAAUACGUAGGGUGCGAGCGUUGUCCGGAUUCACUGGGCGUAAAGAGCUCGUAGGCGGUUUGUCACGUCGUCUGUGAAAACCCGAGGCUUAACCUCGGGCCUGCAGGCGAUACGGGCAGACUUGAGUACUGUAGGGGAGACUGGAAUUCCUGGUGUAGCGGUGGAAUGCGCAGAUAUCAGGAGGAACACCGGUGGCGAAGGCGGGUCUCUGGGCAGUAACGGACGCUGAGGAGCGAAAGCGUGGGUAGCGAACAGG
rnacentral:rRNA from 1 species